rnacentral:rRNA from 1 species
AACGAACGCUGGCGGCGUGCUUAACACAUGCAAGUCUGACGGGAAUGUCGGCUUCGGCUGACUAGUACCGUGGCGAACGGGUGAGUAACACGUGGGUAAUCUGCCCUCGAGUUCGGGAUAACCUUGCGAAAGCGGGGCUAAUACCGGAUAAGACCACGCCCUGCACGCAGGGUGCGGUAAAAGGUGGCCUCUUCUUGAAAGCUAUCACUUGAGGAUGAGCCCGCGGCCUAUUAGCUAGUUGGUAGGGUAAUGGCCUACCAAGGCGACGAUGGGUAGCCGGCCUGAGAGGGUGUACGGCCACACUGGCACUGAGACACGGGCCAGACUCCUACGGGAGGCAG